GACGAACGCUGGCGGCGUGCCUAAUACAUGCAAGUCGAGCGAGCUUGCCUAGAUGAUUUUAGUGCUUGCACUAAAUGAAACUAGAUACAAGCGAGCGGCGGACGGGUGAGUAACACGUGGGUAACCUGCCCAAGAGACUGGGAUAACACCUGGAAACAGAUGCUAAUACCGGAUAACAACACUAGACGCAUGUCUAGAGUUUGAAAGAUGGUUCUGCUAUCACUCUUGGAUGGACCUGCGGUGCAUUAGCUAGUUGGUAAGGUAACGGCUUACCAAGGCAAUGAUGCAUAGCCGAGUUGAGAGACUGAUCGGCCACAUUGGGACUGAGACACGGCCCAAACUCCUACGGGAGGCAGCAGUAGGGAAUCUUCCACAAUGGACGAAAGUCUGAUGGAGCAACGCCGCGUGAGUGAAGAAGGGUUUCGGCUCGUAAAGCUCUGUUGGUAGUGAAGAAAGAUAGAGGUAGUAACUGGCCUUCAUUUGACGGUAAUUACUUAGAAAGUCACGGCUAACUACGUG
rnacentral:rRNA from 1 species